rnacentral:rRNA from 1 species
UACAAAAACAUCGCCUCUUGCUAAACCGAAAGUAUAAGAGGUCCCGCCUGCCCUGUGACUAUAUGUUUAACGGCCGCGGUAUUUUGACCGUGCGAAGGUAGCGCAAUCACUUGUCUUUUAAAUGGGGACCUGUAUGAAUGGCAUAACGAGGGCUUAACUGUCUCCUCUUUCAAGUCAAUGAAAUUGAUCUCCCCGUGCAGAAGCGAGGAUAAAUACAUAAGACGAGAAGACCCUAUGGAGCUUUAGACACUAAAGCAGAUCAGUAUUAAUACCCUGAACAUAGGCUACGAAUAAACUGACCCCUGCCCUAAUGUCUUUGGUUGGGGCGACCGCGGAGAAAAAUAAAACCCCCGCAAGGAUUAAAUGUACUACAUUCACAAACAAGAGCGACAGCUCUAACUAACAGAACUUCUGACCAAUAAGAUCCGGCAAUGCCGAUCAAUGAACCGA